rnacentral:rRNA from 1 species
CCUACGGGAGGCAGCAGUGAGGAAUAUUGGUCAAUGGCCGAGAGUCUGAACCAGCCAAGUCGCGUGAGGGAAGACGGCCCUACGGGUUGUAAACCUCUUUUGUCGGGGAGCAAAGAGAGUCACGUGUGACUCAUUGAGAGUACCCGAAGAAAAAGCAUCGGCUAACUCCGUGCCAGCAGCCGCGGUAAUACGGAGGAUGCGAGCGUUAUCCGGAUUUAUUGGGUUUAAGGGGUGCGCAGGCGGAGGUGCAAGUCAGCGGUCAAAUUGCGGGGCUCAACCCCGUACUGCCGUUGAAACUGCAUGCCUUGAGUGCGCGAGAAGUAGGCGGAAUGCGUGGUGUAGCGGUGAAAUGCAUAGAUAUCACGAAGAACUCCGAUUGCGAAGGCAGCAUACCGGCGCGCAACUGACGCUGAUGCACGAAAGCGUGGGUAUCGAACAGGAUUAGAUACCCGUGUAGUC